GAUGAACGCUAGCGGCAGGCUUAAUACAUGCAAGUCGAGGGGCAGCAGGUUCCGUAGCAAUACGGAAUGCUGGCGACCGGCAAACGGGUGCGGAACACGUACGCAACCUACCCAAAACUGGGGAAUAGCCCGGGGAAACCCGGAUUAAUACCUCGUAACAUAAUGAAGUGGCAUCACUUUAUUAUUAUAGCUCCGGCGGUUUUGGAUGGGCGUGCGCCUGAUUAGGUAGUUGGUGAGGUAACGGCNCACCAAGCCUGCGAUCAGUAACUGGUGUGAGAGCACGACCAGUCACACGGGCACUGAGACACGGGCCCGACUCCUACGGGAGGCAGCAGUAAGGAAUAUUGGUCAAUGGACGCAAGUCUGAACCAGCCAUGCCGCGUGAAGGAUGAAGGUCCUCUGGAUUGUAAACUUC
rnacentral:rRNA from 1 species